GCUGAGGCUGACACAACUCCCAGUUUGACUGAGUUAACUGGCUAAUUGGAGAGACAUGGGAAGAUGUACAUCGAAAGAGAGUAAGAGGCUUCUGAAACAGGAGGUGGAGAAAGAGAACUCCGUUCAAAAUCCAUUACCAGGAGCUUCAGCCAGCCUCAAGCAGUCAUCUGUAAUGCAGCUAAACCAAGCCUGACCUUGGAAGAUCAAAAAAGAAGAGGCUGCAUGUCAAGAGAAGAGAGAAGAGGUGGCGUGUGUAACGGCGAGUUCCUGUCCUUCACCUCUUGGGGAGUUUACUUACUGGAUGCACUUCCUGGCCUUGUGUUUGACGCAGCAAAAGAAGAUGUGGCACUGUGGACGAGCAUACUGAGGAAGCUGCUUCUGCAGGUGGAUGUAGCUGACUCAAGGGGAAAGCUGAGCAACCUUGGAUACUGAGCUCUAAUUGGUGAGUCUAGAGGUUACUACUGUUUACAAAGCUAAUGUUUAUAACUUGUUUGUUCUUGUAUUUGUAAAAUUGCAUUUGUGUAUUUUGUAAUACUGUAUUUGU